UCUGCAGCCACCAACAGGACCACCUCAUCCGCCUUCUAACAGGAGCCAUCCGUGUGAAUUGUACGACAAAAUCAGCAGGGUUGUUGCGCUGGGACAUGUUAUUCACAGCGACUCAAAAAUGAUUCAUGGAAAAAAAAUGCGUGAUGAUUGUUUGCGUGUGUCGGUGGAUUUUGUGGAGAUAAAAACUGCAAUACUUCCAUAUCCAUCUGGUGAUAUUGUUACUGUGUAUGAUGCCCGUGAAAGUGUUGUUCAAUGGCCAAAACACUUGGUGGUCCUUGUCGGAAAUGGGCGAACGAGAUUGGAUGCAUUUGAUGAAUUUGUUAAGAG